AAACCAAGGAAGAAAAAUUGAAGCCGACAUUUGGCAAGCAGAAUAACAUCUUUGUUUCGCCGCCAACAGCACGGAAUCAUGGAGACUCCAUCGAGUGGACGUGGUCAUACACCUUUUGACACAUGGACCAGUGACGUCUGGCUCUCCUGGCACCUGGAGAACUUGGCCUGGAAGCUAGAAUCCUGUGUAUCCUGGCAUUACCGCCGUGUGCCCACCAGUCUUCACAGUUUUAUAUCCUGCACGUCCAGAAGGUACAAAACAAGAAAGAAAAAUUGAAGCCGACAUUUGGGAAGCAGAAUGACAUCUUUGUUUCGCCGCCAACAGCACAGAAUCAUGGAGACUCCAUCGAGUGGACGUGGUCAUACACCUUUUGACACAUGGACCAGUGACGUCUGGCUCUCCUGGCACCUGGAGAACUUGGCCUGGAAGCUAGAAUCCUGUGUAUCCUGACAUUACCGCCGUGUGCCCACCAGACUUCACAGUUUUAUAUCCUGCACGUCCAGAAGCACGGAAUCAUGGAGACUCCAUCGAGUGGACGUGGUCAUACACCUUUUGACACAUGGACCAGUGACGUCUGGCUCUCCUGGCACCUGGAGAACUUGGCCUGGAAGCUAGAAUCCUGUGUAUCCUGGCAUAACCGCCGUGUGCCCACCAGACUUCACAGUUUUAUAUCCUGCACGUCCAGAAGGCACUAUUGUGGAAGAUUUAAAGAGUGUGGACUAUAUGCUAGAAAUACUGGUGGUGGGUAGUGUUGAGAAGAAGGGAUUCCUAUGGCCAAGAUCCUCAUUGAACUUCAACCACUUUUUGAUGUAACUGGCCUUUUGCUAGGGUACGGCUUCAACAGAGAAACUCAAAUAGGAAGCUCUGAGCUCAGUGUAUAUGUUAACACCUAUGGAUGCCUCCUGUAUACAACUGGAAGUAGAAACAGUGGAAGAAUUGGUAAAGCCUAGGUUCAGCCAUCAGAAUAACUUGUUCCUGACUGUGCCAACUCUACAGAAUCCUGGAGACGCCAUUGGGUGGACGUGGCCAUGCACCUUUUGACACAUGGACCAAUGAUGUCUGGCUCUCCUAGCACCUUGAGGACAUGGCCUGGAAGCUGGUCUCCUGUGUAUCCUCGCAUAACAGCAGGGGGGCCACCAAAGAUAACAGUAUUAUAUCCUGAACCUCCAGAGGUAGGAGCAUCUUAUCGGGGUCUUUUGUUUUAUUAUUCUGGACAUGGCCUGGAAGCUGGCCUCAUUUCUAUUACUCUCAUAAUAGCUGAGUGGCCACAAUCGCUCACAGUAACUUAUCCUGAAUGGUGAAAGGUAGGAGCAUCCUACUUGGAGGUCUGUUUCAUCACUAUGGCCUGUGCAUGCACCCCCAGUAGCACUACACAUAUAGACUCUUCAGUAACCCCCAUGGGGAAAAAAGUAAAAGUAUGUUAUACUAGACCUUGAAGGAACCGCCUGCCUGCAGGAGUCCUAUCACAGAUCCACUCUGAUGCAUGCAUUCUAACUGCAGAACAAGAUUUGCCUUUGCUGGUGGCUUUAAAACAUCUGCUUCUCACCCCUGAAGUCUUCAUGCACUGAGAACUUCCUCUGGCUUGAGGAUUAUAAUAACUUUUGUUAUUAGGAACCUAAUCUGCCAUGAGAAUUAUUACAAUUUUUGUUAAGUAUAUCAAAAUACUGCUAUAUCUUAAUUUUUAUUAUCACUAAGUGACUAUUAUCUUAUCCUGCUACUUUCACAUGUGUUUACAUUUCUCCAGUUUUUUUGCGCAGGGACCAUUGCAGAUGAUUUAAAUAGUGUGGAUUAAAAGGUGAGAAUACUGGAGGGGGGAGUGUGGGGAAGAUGGGGUUCCUAUGGCCAGGAUCCUCACUGAUCUUCAACCACUUUGUGAUGUAACUGUCCUGUUGCUAGGCUACAUCUUCAACCAUGAAACACAAAAAGAAACCCAGAGCUCAGUGUACGUGUUAACACCUAUAGAUGCCUCCCCUAUACAACUGCAAGUAGAAACCAAGGAAGAAAAACUGAAGCCGAGGUUUGGCAACCAGAAUAACGUCUUCCUUUCACCACCAAUAUCACAGAUGCACCGAGACUCCAUUGAGUGGACGUGGUCAUACACUUUUUGACACAUGGACCAGUGAUGUUGGGCUCUCCUGGAACCUUGAGUACAUGGCCCUGAAGCUAGCCUACUGUGUACCCUGGCAUAACUGGCGUGAGGCCACCAAAGAUCACAGUAUUAUAUCCUGCAUGCCCAGAAGGUUGGAGGGUCUUACCGGGGAGUUUUUUUUUUAUUGUUAUGGCCUGUGCGUGCACCUCCAGUAGCACUAUAUACAGACCCUUCAGUAACCCCCAUGGGAAAAAAAUUAAAAGUAUGGAACACUAGACAUAGAAGUGACCACCUGCCUUCGGCAUCCCUAUCACUGAUCCACCCUCAUGCAUGCAUCCUACCUGAAGGACAAGAUUUGCCUUUGUUGGUGGCUUUAUAACAUGUGUCAUAUUGUCCCUAAAGUUUUAUGCACUGGGAACUUCCUCUGGCUUGAGGAUUAUUAUAAAUUUUGUUUGUAGGAACCUAACCUGGCUUAAGGAUUAUUAUAAUUUUUGUUAAGUGUUUCAAUAUCUUGCUGUAUCUUAAUUCUUUUUAUCACUAAGUUGCUAUUACCUUUCCUUGCUAUUGUGCCAUGUGUUUACAGUGCUCCAGUUUUUUUGCACAGGGACCAUUGUGAAAGAUUGAAAGCAUGUAGAUUGUAAGGCAAGAAUACUGGAGGGGGGCAGUGUGGGGAAGAUGGGGUUCCUAUGGCAAGGAUCCUCCCUGAACUUAAACUUCUUGAUGAUGAAACUCGUCUUUUGCUAGGCUACUGCUUCCACACCUUUGGGCAAUAAGCUAUUAUUGGACUAUACAAGAGGUUGGCCUGGUGCUCUGAGUGGAGGCAGAGAUGCUAGUGAUCGACCUACCACCGGAGAACAGGCCUGGUAAUAAACCCUUUUACCACAAGAACAUUUUGCUGUCGAUUCCUUUGGUCACACUGAAUCCACUGGGAACUUGCCCAGGGUUGAAACCCAUUGGCAAGACAAUUAAUUGGUUUCGGAAUCUGCCGAGCACUGGUUCCAAGGUUCGCUCCCUAAACGCCCUCCCCCUCGCCUGCCCGCUUGCUGUGCACAUAGGAAGGUUACAGAUCUGGAAGCAGAAAGGUAUAUACUGCUCCCUUUGCCUUUGUUCGGGGCUCAGAACUUUUGGGUGAUUACUCUCCUCUGAUCCCGCCAGUGUGAAAUUAAGCCUCAACACUCCAAGACCUCUGAGUGCUGCUUCGUUUUCCCAUCAGUGAUCCAGUCCAGGUUUUUUUCAGUAUUUUCCAUAACAGGGAGAUUAAGUGACGGACUUGAACAGGCAGAAGGAAGCAUCAGUGAGUCUGAAGAUAAUGCAUUUGAAAGUAUGCAGUUAUGAGGAACAGAAAGAAAGAAAAAUGAACAGUUUGAGGAAUCUG